UAGAUACAAAAAAUUCUUCCAUCACUCUUUAUUUUCCAUUGCUCUUCCGUGUAAAGAAUACAGCUAUUGGAAUCUGGAUUUCAUGGUCAGCUUAGAAAUUAUCGGCAGUUCUCACAGGCAAAUACUUAGUAGAGUGCGAAUGACAAAAUCUCAAGUGCCAAAUAUAACCCGUGCAUCACCACGGAGCUCGGAACAGUGCUCCAUACAGGCGAACCAUAACACAGCGCAGCACAAGAGUAAAAAAUAGCAUCAUGUUUUUCCCCAAGGAUGUCAAGGCC